AAAGUGCUGAGAUUACAGGUGUUAGCCACCAUGCCCAGUCAAUUUUUUCUAUUCAUGUAUUUUUUGCUUUAUAAGUUUAGAAGUUUUAGGUGAUCAAGUUAUUUCUCUUAUUACUUUUGUUGUGAAAUCUAUUUUACAAUGAGAAGAAUCUCAAAUCAAAUGUUUAUUUUUAGUAGAAACACAUUUGAGAUUUGACUCCAAAGAAAAUGCAACUAAUGUACCUUGCAAAGAAAAAAGUAGUUGUGCAUAUACUCCUGCCACCCGUGCUUCCCAUUAACCUCUGCCUCUUGGCAAGCCAUUGACCUGUUUUCCUAGUAAGCUCAGGCUGCAAUUGUGUUAGCUGGCUGAGUCACAGCUGGGGCUUAUGGAGGACAACCUGGCAAUUACAUUAUGUUCCUAGAUUCACUGUACAUUCAUAAAUCCUCUGGUGCAUGAAGUCUAAAACCUCGUGACUUGCUAAGGCAAAGAGUUGUAUAAGCCACGAAGGAAAAUGAAGCAUAUCAAUGAUAUAAUUUCACUUCAAAAUGUACUAGAGACCCACCUAUUUUUAUUGUCAAAUUUGCUCAUGGAUUGAUCAUACUUGUCAAUAACCCUCAAAUAUUACAAUAACUGUUUUUUUUCUCUCUCUCAGCAGCCAAAUAUUUCUACCCAGGAACAGAUGGUUUAUCUUCCUCUUAGAUGCAUAGAAUUAGAUGGGACUAACAGCCUCCAAGUUUGCUUGACACAUAAAUGAAAUAUAUCCUGAGGACUCACUCCUGCUCAGCCACUCACAUCAAAUUUAGUUUCUUGAACUGGGCUGCUGAGGCAUUCUGCUCAGGAAUUAAUCAUAGCUGAGAAGUCACUUCAGGGGUGGAGGAGGAAAACAAUCUGCAACUUCUUGUUGUCCUAUAUUCACACAAUAUACGCUGUGUGCCUACUACAAACUGGAAACCGUUCUCAGCUCUAAGUUCCAUCAAUGACUGACAGGAGGAGUUGCUUACCAGGGGAAGACAUGUGUGAACUGAUGUAUGUGUCGGAUGGUAGUAAGUGCACUGGAGAAAAUGAAGCCUGGUGAAGGAUCAGGGAGUGAAUGGAGGGGUCACUAGAAAGUUCUAGGCAGAGGAAAUGUACAGAUGCCCUCAGGUGGGAACACUUUGCUUCUUCAAAGGGUUGCAUAGAGGCCACUAUGGCCAGAGGGCAGUGAGUGAGGAUUAUUCAAGGAGAAGGAAAGGGAAGUUUAAGGAGGAGAGGUUGCGUCUUAGGCUUUUUACUCUGAGAUGGGAAGCCCUGAAGUGUUCUGUGCUGAAGAGCCAUGUGCUUUGACUCAGGCUUUUCAAGAACCACCGUGGUCUGCUGUGCAAGGGUGACAUCAGGGAGACCAGUCAGGAGGUGGUAUGGUUUGGAUAUGGUUUGUUUGGCUCCACCAAGUCUCAUGUGGAAAUCUGAUCCCCACUGUUGGAGGCGGGGCUUAAGGGGAGUUGUUUGGGUCAUGGGGGUGGAUCCCUCAUGAAUGGCUUGGUGCCCUCCUCGAAGUAGAGAGCGAGUUCUCAGUCUUAGUCCCUGCGAGAACUGAUCGUUGCUUCAUCCCUGGGAUGCAAGGCUGGUUCAACAUUCGCAAAUCAAUAAACAUAAUCCAGCAUAUAAACAGAACCAAA